GAUGAACGCUGGCGGCGUGCCUAAUACAUGCAAGUCGAGCGAACGGACGAGAAGCUUGCUUCUCUGAUGUUAGCGGCGGACGGGUGAGUACACCGUGGAUAACCUCCCUAUAAGACUGGGAUAACUUCGGGAAACCGGAGCUAAUACCGGAUAAUAUUUUGAACCGCAUGGUUCAAAAGUGAAAGACGGUCUUCCUGUCACUAUUAAAUGGAUCCGCGCUGCAUUAGCUAGUUGGUAAGGUAACGGCUUACCAAGGCAACGAUGCAUAGCCGACCUGAGAGGGUGAUCGGCCACACUGGAACUGAGACACGGUCCAGACUCCUACGGGAGGCAGCAGUAGGGAAUCUUCCGCAAUGGGCGAAAGCCUGACGGAGCAACGCCGCGUGAGUGAUGAAGGUCUUCGGAUCGUAAAACUCUGUUAUUAGGGAAGAACAUAUGUGUAAGUAACUGUGCACAUCUUGACGGUACCUAAUCAGAAAGCCACGGCUAACUACGUG
rnacentral:rRNA from 1 species